ensembl:snoRNA SNORD49B small nucleolar RNA, C/D box 49B
UAUCCUGAUGAUUCCGUAGGAAGUGCCGUCAGAUGCGAGGACUGACGACUUCUACGCCUAUCAGACC